rnacentral:tRNA from 1 species
GGAGAAGUGGCCGAGCGGCUUAUGGCGCUUUCCUGCUAAGAAAGAGCGGUUUAACACCGUCGUGGGUUCAAAUCCUACCUUCUCCG